rnacentral:tRNA from 2 species
GCGGAUGUGGUGGAAUUGGCAGACGCGCUAGCUUCAGGUGCUAGUGGUUUCACGACCGUGCGGGUUCAAGUCCCGCCAUCCGCA